CGGAAGUAAACGAUGACAUCCGUUCAAGUGUAUAACUGGCACGGAUUCCAGGAACCACGCUCAUCCCAGUAAUGCCACGCCUACCUCUUCCCACCGACAUCUCCGUUCUGACCCUGUCUCCUUCCUGACCCCUGGACACGCUCUGGACUGUGCCUCUCAUUUUUGACCUUGGGCUGACCUGAGCAGGAUUACCAGCCUAAC